rnacentral:rRNA from 1 species
UUAAGUUAUUAAGGGCGCACGGUGGAUGCCUUGGCACUAGAAGCCGAUGAAGGACGUUACUAACGACGAUAUGCUUUGGGGAGCUGUAAGUAAGCUUUGAUCCAGAGAUUUCCGAAUGGGGAAACCCAGCAUGAGUUAUGUCAUGUUAUCGAUAUGUGAAUACAUAGCAUAUCAGAAGGCACACCCGGAGAACUGAAACAUCUUAGUACCCGGAGGAAGAGAAAGAAAAUUCGAUUCCCUUAGUAGCGGCGAGCGAAACGGGAAGAGCCCAAACCAACAAGCUUGCUUGUUGGGGUUGUAGGACACUCUAUACGGAGUUACAAAGGACGACAUUAGACGAAUCAUCUGGAAAGAUGAAUCAAAGAAGGUAAUAAUCCUGUAGUCGAAAAUGUUGUCUCUCUUGAGUGGAUCCUGAGUACGACGGAGCACGUGAAAUUCCGUCGGAAUCUGGGAGGACCAUCUCCUAAGGCUAAAUACUCUCUAGUGACCGAUAGUGAACCAGUACCGUGAGGGAAAGGUGAAAAGCACCCCGGAAGGGGAGUGAAAUAGAACCUGAAACCGUGUGCUUACAAGUAGUCAGAGCCCGUUAAUGGGUGAUGGCGUGCCUUUUGUAGAAUGAACCGGCGAGUUACGAUUUGAUGCAAGGUUAAGCAGUAAAUGUGGAGCCGUAGCGAAAGCGAGUCUGAAUAGGGCGUUUAGUAUUUGGUCGUAGACCCGAAACCAGGUGAUCUACCCUUGGUCAGGUUGAAGUUCAGGUAACACUGAAUGGAGGACCGAACCGACUUACGUUGAAAAGUGAGCGGAUGAACUGAGGGUAGCGGAGAAAUUCCAAUCGAACCUGGAGAUAGCUGGUUCUCUCCGAAAUAGCUUUAGGGCUAGCCUCAAGUGAUGAUUAUUGGAGGUAGAGCACUGUUUGGACGAGGGGCCCCUCUCGGGUUACCGAAUUCAGACAAACUCCGAAUGCCAAUUAAUUUAACUUGGGAGUCAGAACAUGGGUGAUAAGGUCCGUGUUCGAAAGGGAAACAGCCCAGACCACCAGCUAAGGUCCCAAAAUAUAUGUUAAGUGGAAAAGGAUGUGGCGUUGCCCAGACAACUAGGAUGUUGGCUUAGAAGCAGCUAUCAUUUAAAGAGUGCGUAAUAGCUCACUAGUCGAGUGACACUGCGCCGAAAAUGUACCGGGGCUAAACAUAUUACCGAAGCUGUGGAUUGUCCUUUGGACAAUGGUAGGAGAGCGUUCUAAGGGCGUUGAAGCAUGAUCGUAAGGACAUGUGGAGCGCUUAGAAGUGAGAAUGCCGGUGUGAGUAGCGAAAGACGGGUGAGAAUCCCGUCCACCGAUUGACUAAGGUUUCCAGAGGAAGGCUCGUCCGCUCUGGGUUAGUCGGGUCCUAAGCUGAGGCCGACAGGCGUAGGCGAUGGAUAACAGGUUGAUAUUCCUGUACCACCUAUAAUCGUUUUAAUCGAUGGGGGGACGCAGUAGGAUAGGCGAAGCGUGCGAUUGGAUUGCACGUCUAAGCAGUAAGGCUGAGUAUUAGGCAAAUCCGGUACUCGUUAAGGCUGAGCUGUGAUGGGGAGAAGACAUUGUGUCUUCGAGUCGUUGAUUUCACACUGCCGAGAAAAGCCUCUAGAUAGAAAAUAGGUGCCCGUACCGCAAACCGACACAGGUAGUCAAGAUGAGAAUUCUAAGGUGAGCGAGCGAACUCUCGUUAAGGAACUCGGCAAAAUGACCCCGUAACUUCGGGAGAAGGGGUGCUCUUUAGGGUUAACGCCCAGAAGAGCCGCAGUGAAUAGGCCCAAGCGACUGUUUAUCAAAAACACAGGUCUCUGCUAAACCGUAAGGUGAUGUAUAGGGGCUGACGCCUGCCCGGUGCUGGAAGGUUAAGAGGAGUGGUUAGCUUCUGCGAAGCUACGAAUCGAAGCCCCAGUAAACGGCGGCCGUAACUAUAACGGUCCUAAGGUAGCGAAAUUCCUUGUCGGGUAAGUUCCGACCCGCACGAAAGGCGUAACGAUUUGGGCACUGUCUCAACGAGAGACUCGGUGAAAUCAUAGUACCUGUGAAGAUGCAGGUUACCCGCGACAGGACGGAAAGACCCCGUGGAGCUUUACUGUAGCCUGAUAUUGAAAUUCGGCACAGCUUGUACAGGAUAGGUAGGAGCCUUUGAAACGUGAGCGCUAGCUUACGUGGAGGCGCUGGUGGGAUACUACCCUAGCUGUGUUGGCUUUCUAACCCGCACCACUUAUCGUGGUGGGAGACAGUGUCAGGCGGGCAGUUUGACUGGGGCGGUCGCCUCCUAAAAGGUAACGGAGGCGCUCAAAGGUUCCCUCAGAAUGGUUGGAAAUCAUUCAUAGAGUGUAAAGGCAUAAGGGAGCUUGACUGCGAGACCUACAAGUCGAGCAGGGUCGAAAGACGGACUUAGUGAUCCGGUGGUUCCGCAUGGAAGGGCCAUCGCUCAACGGAUAAAAGCUACCCCGGGGAUAACAGGCUUAUCUCCCCCAAGAGUUCACAUCGACGGGGAGGUUUGGCACCUCGAUGUCGGCUCAUCGCAUCCUGGGGCUGUAGUCGGUCCCAAGGGUUGGGCUGUUCGCCCAUUAAAGCGGUACGCGAGCUGGGUUCAGAACGUCGUGAGACAGUUCGGUCCCUAUCCGUCGUGGGCGUAGGAAAUUUGAGAGGAGCUGUCCUUAGUACGAGAGGACCGGGAUGGACAUACCUCUGGUGUACCAGUUGUCGUGCCAACGGCAUAGCUGGGUAGCUAUGUGUGGACGGGAUAAGUGCUGAAAGCAUCUAAGCAUGAAGCCCCCCUCAAGAUGAGAUUUCCCAACUUCGGUUAUAAGAUCCCUCAAAGAUGAUGAGGUUAAUAGGUUCGAGGUGGAAGCAUGGUGACAUGUGGAGCUGACGAAUACUAAUCGAUCGAAGACUUAAUCAA